rnacentral:piRNA from 1 species
GAGGUUUAAAUGAGGUCGUGU